rnacentral:rRNA from 1 species
CACUAAGCGGAGGAAAAGAAACUAACCAGGAUUCCCCUAGUAACGGCGAGUGAAGAGGGAAAAGCCCAGCACCGAAGCCUGUGGCAGAUUUGCUACUAGGCAAUGUGGUGUUUAGGUCGGCUCGCGGGAUCGCCACUCCACUCGAAGUCCAGCCUUGAUUAUGGUUGCCAGGAAUUGGCCCAUAGCGGGUGAUAGGCCCGUACGGGUGGAGGUGUCAGAUGUGUAAGGCGAUUCACCAGGCCGGCCUUAGAGUCGGGUUGUUUGCGAAUGCAGCCCAAAGCGGGUGGUAAACUCCAUCCAAGGCUAAAUACUAGCACGAGUCCGAUAGCGAACAAGUACCGUGAGGGAAAGUUGAAAAGUACUUUGAAGAGAGAGUAAACAGUACGUGAAACCGCAUAGAGGUAAACGGGUGGCGUCAAGCUGCAAGCCCAGAGAAUUCAGUCGGUCAGAGUGUAGACCUGCGUCCAGCGCAGUCAACAGUCGGUGUAGAGUGUGGCCAGUCUGCCGGGAGACGGCGGGUCCAGCUGUAACAGGCUGGGAUUCGUGUACCGAGUGGUAGUCGGAGCGAGCUGGCCAACUGUGGGACUGUCUGGCCGAUGCACUUUCUCUGUGGUGAACACCACGACCGGUGGAACUGCCAGUCUACUCUGGUCAGCUUCGUUGCACGACCUUGCCUUCGGGUGGGGCCGGGUGGCGAUCACAGGCAACUUCAGUGCACGGUGCUUGCGGGUUCUCCACUCGUAGGCAUGCUAUCGGGAACUGGUUGUCAACGGGUCGGCUCGGACAGUGGUCUGUAGUUGCACUGUGACUGAGUGACUCGGUGGGCCAUGGUGGCAGGAGAAGCUGUGCAGGGCACCGGAGAUGUCGGUCUAGAGUUGACGACUGUACACGGACUACAGCAUGGCAAAGACAGCGCUGCCAGAGUCUGCCAACGAUCGGGUCUGAUCAUCGAGUCGCCUGUCAAAAUGACGGGUCCGGUGGUGGCCUGGAGUUGGACGGUGCUUGUGGGCGGUGUGGUCGUAGUACAGUCGUGUAGAGAGACCGGAUAGUCUGUGGUGUAGUGGUAGACGAGCUACCCGACCCGUCUUGAAACACGGACCAAGAAGUUCAACAUGCGCGCGAGUCAUUGGGUAGUACGAAACCCAGAGGCGCAGUGAAAGUGAAGCCUCGACUUGUCGGGGUGGGGUGAGAUCCCGCUGUUUCUCGCACACAACAGCAGUCUGGACGUCGAGCAGUGGGCGCAUCACCGGCCCGUCCCAUGAUGUGGCUAUCAGCAGAGGCUGGCGGUUUCGGCCGUCAGACUGGCGGGUACGUCAUCGGGGCGGAGCAUGAGCGCGCAUGUUGAGACCCGAAAGAUGGUGAACUAUGCUUGCGUAGGUUGAAGCCAGAGGAAACUCUGGUGGAGGACCGCAGCGAUUCUGACGUGCAAAUCGAUCGUCAAACGUGAGCAUAGGGGCGAAAGACUAAUCNAACCAUCUARUAGCUGGUUCCCUC